rnacentral:rRNA from 1 species
UACGGAGGGUGCAAGCGUUAAUCGGAAUUACUGGGCGUAAAGCGUGCGUAGGCGGUUCGUUAAGUCUGUUGUGAAAGCCCCGGGCUCAACCUGGGAAUGGCAAUGGAUACUGGCGAGCUAGAGUGUGUCAGAGGAUGGUGGAAUUCCCGGUGUAGCGGUGAAAUUCGUAGAUAUCGGGAGGAACACCGGUGGCGAAGGCGGCGACCUGGGUAGAUACUGACGCUGAGGUGCGAAAGCGUGGGGAGCAAACAGG